rnacentral:rRNA from 1 species
GACAGAGGGUGCAAACGUUGUUCGGAUUUACUGGGCGUAAAGCGCGUGUAGGCGGCUUGGCAAGUCGGAUGUGAAAGCCCACGGCUCAACCGUGGAAGCGCAUCCGAAACGGCCUCGCUCGAGUCUCGGAGAGGAAGGUGGAAUGCUUGGUGUAGAGGUGAAAUUCGUAGAUAUCAAGCAGAACACCUGCGGCGAAGGCGGCCUUCUGGAUGAUGACUGACGCUGAGACGCGAAAGCGUGGGGAGCAAACAGG